rnacentral:rRNA from 1 species
GACGAACGCUGGCGGCGUGCUUAACACAUGCAAGUCGAACGGAAAGGCCCUGCUUUUGUGGGGUGCUCGAGUGGCGAACGGGUGAGUAACACGUGAGUAACCUGCCCUUGACUUUGGGAUAACUUCAGGAAACUGGGGCUAAUACCGGAUAGGAGCUCCUGCUGCAUGGUGGGGGUUGGAAAGUUUCGGCGGUUGGGGAUGGACUCGCGGCUUAUCAGCUUGUUGGUGGGGUAGUGGCUUACCAAGGCUUUGACGGGUAGCUGGCCUGAGAGGGUGACCGGCCACAUUGGGACUGAGAUACGGCCCAGACUCCUACGGGAGGCAGCAGUGGGGAAUAUUGCACAAUGGGCGGAAGCCUGAUGCAGCAACGCCGCGUGCGGGUUGACGGCCUUCGGGUUGUAAACCGCUUUCGCCUGUGACGAAGCGUGAGUGACGGUAAUGGGUAAAGAAGCACCGGCUAACUACGUG